GACGAACGCUGGCGGCGUGCUUAACACAUGCAAGUCGAACGGAAAGGCCCUGCUUUUGUGGGGUGCUCGAGUGGCGAAAGGGUGAGUAACACGUGAGUAACCUGCCCUUGACUUUGGGAUAACUUCAGGAAACUGGGGCUACUACCGGAUAGGAGCUCCUGCUGCAUGGUGGGGGUUGGAAAGUUUCGGCGGUUGGGGAUGGACUCGCGGCUUAUCAGCUUGUUGGUGGGGUAGUGGCUUACCAAGGCUUUGACGGGUAGCCGGCCUGAGAGUGUGACCGGCCACAUUGGGACUGAGAUACGGCCCAGACUCCUACGGGAGGCAGCAGUGGGGAAUAUUGCACAAUGGGCGGAAGCCUGAUGCAGCAACGCCGCGUGCGGGAUGGCGGCCUUCGGGUGGUAGACCGCUUUCGCCUGUGACGAAGCGUGAGUGACGGUAAUGGGUAAAGAAGCACCGGCUAACUACGUG
rnacentral:rRNA from 1 species